AGAGUUUGAUCCUGGCUCAGAGCGAACGCUGGCGGCAGGCUUAACACAUGCAAGUCGAGCGGGCGUAGCAAUACGUCAGCGGCAGACGGGUGAGUAACGCGUGGGAACGUACCUUUUGGUUCGGAACAACACAGGGAAACUUGUGCUAAUACCGGGUAAGCCCUUACGGGGAAAGAUUUAUCGCCGAAAGAUCGGCCCGCGUCUGAUUAGCUAGUUGGUGAGGUAAUGGCUCACCAAGGCGACGAUCAGUAGCUGGUCUGAGAGGAUGAUCAGCCACAUUGGGACUGAGACACGGCCCAAACUCCUACGGGAGGCAGCAGUGGGGAAUAUUGGACAAUGGGGGCAACCCUGAUCCAGCCAUGCCGCGUGAGUGAUGAAGGCCCUAGGGUUGUAAAGCUCUUUUGUGC
rnacentral:rRNA from 1 species